UACGAAGGGGGCUAGCGUUGCUCGGAAUCACUGGGCGUAAAGCGCACGUAGGCGGAUCGUUAAGUCGGGGGUGAAAUCCCAGGGCUCAACCCUGGAACUGCCUUCGAUACUGGCGAUCUUCGAGUCCGGGAGAGGUGAGUGGAACUCCGAGUGUAGAGGUGAAAUUCGUAGAUAUUCGGAAGAACACCAGUGGCGAAGGCGGCCCACUGGCCCGGUACUGACGCUGAGGUGCGAAAGCGUGGGGAGCAAACAGG
rnacentral:rRNA from 1 species